CGACUACCGCUUCUUAGAACCUAGAAUCAAGACCAGUUUGGUAGGGCUUCGACUCCUCUAAAAAUGGCUUCGGCUCUGGCUCCUCUAGUGGAGUGGCUUCUCCUGCUGUUCCUCCUUUUGGAAAACCGUUUGGCAAAACGGCUCUUCCGUGUAGUUUAAAAUGGUUAGAUAAGAUGAAAUACGCAUAAUACCCUUUCCUUUUUCUUUUCCUUUUUCUUUUAUUCCUAUUUAU
rnacentral:lncRNA from 1 species